rnacentral:rRNA from 1 species
AACGAACGCUGGCGGCAUGCCUAACACAUGCAAGUCGAACGAGACCUUCGGGUCUAGUGGCGCACGGGUGCGUAACGCGUGGGAACCUGCCCUUAGGUUCGGAAUAACUCAGAGACAUUUGAGCUAAUACCGGAUAAUGUCUUCGGACCAAAGAUUUAUCGCCUUUGGAUGGGCCCGCGUAGGAUUAGCUUGUUGGUGGGGUAAUGGCCUACCAAGGCGACGAUCCUUAGCUGGUCUGAGAGGAUGAUCAGCCACACUGGGACUGAGACACGGCCCAGACUCCUACGGGAGGCAGCAGUGGGGAAUAGUGGACAAUGGGCGAAAGCCUGAUCCAGCAAUGCCGCGUGAGUGAUGAAGGCCUUAGGGUUGUAAAGCUCUUUUACCAGGGAUGAUAAUGACAGUACCUGGAGAAUAAGCUCCGGCUAACUCCGUG